rnacentral:rRNA from 1 species
UACGUAGGCAGCAAGCGUUGUUCGGAAUUACUGGGCGUAAAGGGUGCGUAGGCGGCUUUUUAAGUUUGGUGUGAAAUCUCCCGGCUCAACCGGGAGGGUGCGCCGAAUACUGAGAAGCUAGAGUGUGGGAGAGGAAAGUGGAAUUCCUGGUGUAGCGGUGAAAUGCGUAGAUAUCAGGAGGAACACCGGUGGUGUAAACGGCUUUCUGGACCAUAACUGACGCUGAGGCACGAAAGCGUGGGUAGCAAACAGG